GACGAACCGUGCGAACGUUGUUCGGAAUCACUGGGCUUAAAGGGCGCGUAGGCGGCAAUUCAAGUCCGGGGUGAAAGCCCCCAGCUCAACUGGGGAAGUGCCUUGGAAACUGGAGUGCUCGAGGGAGGUAGGGGUCGAGGGAACUUCUGGUGGAGCGGUGAAAUGCGUUGAUAUCGGAAGGAACGCCGGUGGCGAAAGCGAUCGACUGGACCUUUUCUGACGCUGAGGCGCGAAAGCCAGGGGAGCAAACGGG
rnacentral:rRNA from 1 species